rnacentral:rRNA from 1 species
GAUGAACGCUAGCGGCAGGCCUAACACAUGCAAGUCGAGGGAGGAGCUUUCGGGCUUCGACCUGCGUACUGGUGCGUAACGCGUAUACAAUCUGCCUUUCACCUAGUGUUAACCCGUAGGAAUUUGUAUUAAUACCUAAUGGUAUAUCGGAGUGGCAUCACCUUUAUAUUAAUGCUGAGGCGGUGACAGAUGAGUAUGCGUUCGAUUAGCUAGUUGGAGAGGUAACGGCUCCCCAAGGCGACGAUAGAUAGGGGUUCUGAGAAGUAUAUCCCCCACACUGGUACUGAGGUACGGACCAGAAGCGGACGGGAGGGAGCAGUGAGGAAUAUUAGAGGAUGGUGGGAAGACUGAUCCAGCCAUGCCGCGUGCAGGAAGACGGGGUUAUGGGUUGUAAACUGAUUGGGAAGAAGAAGAAUAAGGAGUACGUGGACUUUGAUGACGGUACCCUGCGAAUAAGCAUCGGCUAACUACGUG